rnacentral:rRNA from 1 species
CCCCUAAUUUUGCAAGUCGAACCGCAGCACAGUGGAGCUUGCUCCAUGGGUGGCGAGUGGCGGACGGGUGAGGAAUACAUGGGAAUCUGCCCAGUCGUGGGGGAUAACGUAUGGAAACGUACGCUAAUACCGCAUGCGCCCUUCGGGGGAAAGUCGGGGACCGCAAGGCCUGACGCGAUUGGAUGAGCCCAUGUUCGAUUAGCUAGUUGGCGGGGUAACGGCCCACCAAGGCGACGAUCGAUAGCUGGUCUGAGAGGAUGAUCAACCACACUGGAACUUUUUUUUUGUCCAGACUCCUACGGGAGGCAGCAGUAGGGAAUAUUGGACAAUGGGCGCAAGCCUGAUCCAGCCAUGCCGCGUGAGUGAAGAAGGCCCUCGGGUUGUAAAGCUCUUUUGUUGGGGAAGAAAAGCAGUUGGUUAAUACCCGAUUGUUCUGACGGUACCCAAAGAAUAAGCACCGGCUAACUUCGUGCCAGCAGCCGCGGUAAUACGAAGGGUGCAAGCGUUACUCGGAUUACUGGCCGUAAAGCGUGCGUAGGUGGUUGUUAAGUCUGAUGUGAAGCCCUGGGCUCAACCUGGGAAUG